rnacentral:tRNA from 1 species
GGUGUUGUAGCUCAGUGGUAGAGCACUCGCCUACCCCAUGUGAGGCCCUGGAUUCGAUCCUCUCAGCACCA